UCUUUCUCCUUCUGACAGGGAAGGUCCACGAUUCAUACCCUACCUUGCACUGUGUUCAUCUGGGACACCGAAGCCGAUCCAGGGUCGAUCGAUUUGAUCGAUCCAUUGCCUCCACCCCACGGAAACUACUCAAUAGAUAUUCUACGCCUCCUUCUCAUCCAAUUUUUGGAAAAAUCCCCUACAUCCGUGCCCUAGAGCUCCCGAUUGGAUCUCACCGGAGUUCCACUUCGAAGCGCUUCUGCUGCCAUCGAUUCCAGCGCCACCUGAGGGUACCUGAACCACCUUUCUGCGCCUUCUUCUUUGCCUUGAUCUCCUCUAUUACCUUGACCCCCUAUCUCGCACAGGACAGCACCAAACUGAGCACUGUGACCCCAACCCGAAGAAGAUCGCCGCCGCCUUUGCUUCAACCGAGGAGAGAGACCACAGGAGGAGGCCUUCGUCGACACAGUGGAUACCUACGAGUUCUACGUGCCACUCCGCGUCCGAAGCGCACCUCCCCCAGGCCAUCUGACCUCCGUAGCCAACGCCAUCAUCACCACCGAGCCGCCCCGCGCCGUCCUUCCCCAACUCCGGCGGCUCCCAGACUCUGUUUUCCGGUAAGUCGCCUUACACCGUCCGAUCUCCAUCCGACAGUCUAGAUUAGAUCGCCUGUUUUUUUUCGAACCGUUAUCUGUUAAGUUGUGGCCGUCCGCUCUUUAGCCACCGCAGCGAACGGUUUCCAGCCAUUGACAAUGCGUCAUGUGGCACAUCCACAGCUGUCGCAGUAGUUCUUCCAGAAAUCUGUUUUGGCAUAAUUCUUUUUGGCAGAAUCCAUAUCAUAUUUACAUUUUGGUAUACCUUUUAGCCUAUAGCUCCAUUUAGAUAAUUCUUUUUCCUGUGUACUCGUAGUGACAGAAGAAUACUGUAGAAUCAAAAUUCACAUUUUUGAACUAUUCAAAUUUGAAUUUUUUAAAUUUGAAUUCAAACUUCCGGAGGCCAUUUCUUUUAAACCGUUGAUCCAAAUUAAUUGAUUCUUUUUGCAUUGUGAUCCUACUAGCAUGUAGAUAAUAUAUACCUACUGAUAUGUUCUGUUAAUUAAGUCUUUAUUUGAAUUCCUUGUUGUUGACUUUAAUGUGGUGUUAUGUGAGUACGGUUUAUUUAUCGGUGCCUUCAUUAUCGUAUAGAUUAUCCGGAGUGUGAAGCGGAUCAGAAUUAAGCAUUAGAGUACUUCAACAUCGUUCAAGGCAAGUUGCACUUUUGCUAUGCUCAUCCCAUAUGUCUACUAUGCACUGUUAUGGUAUUUUAUAUGCUUGGUGUGAUUCUUAUAUUGCUUGUCACCAUGUGUGUGUCCUAUUUGCAUUGUUCAUUUGCAUGCUUGGAUUUGCUAGGGUAGACGUGGGUAUGUGUCGAGUGAUCCAUGAAAGUGAUGAGUGUUUAUAGCCGUAGGCUCGGGAUUAUUAACUAGGUGAAUGCAUCACUGGCAGAGCGCUCUAUUGUCCCUAGAGAAUGCGCCAUUGACAGAGCGCACUUGAGGCGAGGUAUAGUUUUCGGAACAUAAAUCAGGUGGAUGCGUCCUUUGCAGAGCGCUCUAUUGUUCAUAGAGAAUGUCCCAUUGACACAGUGCACUUGAGAGAUACUUCUGAAGUUCUUGUCAUGUUUAUUUAGAAUCUUUGGGUUAUCUUGGGCGAGUAAAUCAGAGACGGUUGUGAGUUCGGGUAGUGGAGAUAGGUGAAGACUUUCUUCUCCAAAUUAACUUGAGUGUUUUGUAUGUCAUACUUUGCUUGUGGAUGUAGGUUUGCUAUAUCAUAUUGUGUGAUUUGUCAAUACAUUCAAUGUAUUGACCCUUGUGGCUGCAACUUAUCAUGUUGCAGGAUUUUCAGAUGAUCAGUGAGAUACAGUAGGGUCGCGAGUCUUCACUCAGCAUUUUCGCCAGUGGGCAUUGAUGGGGCUCAUCAUUUGCUUAUGCUACAUUUCCGCUGUUAUUAUUGAAUAAAACUAGUUAUGUACUGUGAGUUUGUAAUACUUUAUGAAUUCUGGAUCACACGUUAUAGUAAAUGAUGCACUUGUUAUUUGAUAUUCAUACGUACUGUGUGUGCUAGCGAGUUGAUCCAGGGACUAGCACGGUAUGCAUAGAGAUAUCGAAUCUUAUCAGGUUCGGGUCGUUACAGAUGGUAUCAGAAUAGUGUGUUGACUGUAGGUCGUGACCCUAGAAAAUGGAUUAGAAAAG
rnacentral:lncRNA from 1 species